UACCAGCACCCCGAGUGGUCGGGACGAUUAUUGGGCCUAAAGCAUCCGUAGCCGGUUCUACAAGUCUUCCGUUAAAUCCACCUGCUCAACAGAUGGGCUGCGGAAGAUACUAUGGAGCUAGGAGGCGGGAGAGGCAAGCGGUACUCGAUGGGUAGGGGUAAAAUCCGUUGAUCCAUUGAAGACCACCAGUGGCGAAGGCGGCUUGCCAGAACGCGCUCGACGGUGAGGGAUGAAAGCUGGGGGAGCAAACCGG
rnacentral:rRNA from 1 species